AGAGAGAGAGAGAAGUAGAGGGAGAGGGAGGUAUUUAUAGAAAAAUGGGGCUUCACUGUACCUUUCUCUUGCAAAAGAAUCAUUAAAAGACCCAGCUAGCUUGUCCCAGAUUUCUGCUCUGCACUCUGCAAGAGGGUUUGGACUGGACCAACUGCGUGGAGAUGUAGAGCCACGGCUGCAGCCCUCUCCUGAUCUUCACUGGACUGGAGCUGGCUAAACCUGCCGGACUGACUGAUUUUUGGUAAUAACGGAGCAGUGACUUGGUGAGGAGGUGCUGACCUGAGGUGACCUCUUACAGCUCGACUUCCACACAGAAGACCCAGAAACCAUGAUGAGAAGAUUUCUGAAGAGCCAGAAGAGCCGUUUCUCCCUGCGCCAGAGCCGAUCGGGAUCCCGCAGUGCCUCCAAAGAUUUCUACCCGAACCCUAACGUGCUGAGAGAUUUCCCACUGAAUAUUGAACUGGGUCUUCCAGCAAAUAACCAGGGCUGGCCAGAGGACUUUGGCUUUAAGCUGGGUGGAGAUGGUCCCAGUUACAUCCUCUCUGUGGUGGAGGGCAGCAGCGCUUACAUGGCCGGACUGCAGCCAGGUGACCAGGUUCUGGAGAUCGACGGGCAGGACGUCUCGUCCCUCAGCACUAAAGCCCUCAUCGCUCUGGCUCAGACCCUCAAGACUGUGCCGCCCAGCAUUGGCGUUGUGUCUAGAAUUGAACAGAUGGACAUUGCCCCGGGGCCUGAUGGGCGUUUUGGCUUUACUAUAGUGGGAGACAGUCCUCUGCUGGUGGAGGACUGCAUGCUGAACUCUCCAGCCGGCCGGAGUGGACUGCGAGCUGGUGACUAUGUGAUGGAGGUGAAUGGGAUCCCAGUGAAACAGCACGAGACGGCGGCGGCCAUGAUCAAGGCCUCUCAGGGACGUACGCUGCGUCUGGGUGUGCUGCGGAUCAACCGCUGGCAAAAACGCACCAGCAGCAGCAUGAAAGAGACGUAUCAGAGCAGAGACAUGGUGAGGCAGGACCGCAAACAUAAAGCUCUGGAGUUCAACAAGAAGGUUGAGGAGAUUUUAGGGGAGGAGCCUGAGGUGAAAGAGAGGCUGUUUGAUUUGCUGAAACAGUAUGCAAAUGAGAGGGAUGUCGAAGGUCUGGCAUCUACACUUCCAGAAAUACUGCUCACCGAGGAACAUCAGCAACUGAUUGACAGCAUCAGGAUCUUCAUCCCUAAGAAGCACAGGCAACGUUUUGAUGAGAUGGUCUCCCAGAGUUUGAUGAGUCGCUUGAGGGGCCGAAGUUUCAGCGAGCACAGGAAUAAUCGGCUACGGCGCAGCCGGAGUGAAGACCACCCCGAACGGCUGCUGUCUGUGUCCACUCGAGCCAGCUCUGUGCCCCGGACCACCAAUGAGGAAGUGGUCAUGCCUCCUGCCCGUGGUGUCCGUAAGACCACCUCGCUCAUCGCAGGCCAUUCCAGCUCCUUCUCUACCCGCAGGACAGUACGGGUGUACAAAGGGAACCAGAGUUUCGGGUUUACUCUGCGUGGCCAUGCUCCAGUCUGGAUCGAUUCUGUAAUACCAGGCAGCCCUGCUGAGAAGGCGGGUCUCAAACCUGGAGAUCGCAUCCUGUUUCUCAAUGGGUUGGACAUGAGGAGCUGUUCACAUGAAAAGGUGGUGUCCAUGCUGCAGGGGAGUGGGGCAAUGCCCAGCCUGGUGGUUGAAGACAGCCUACCGGCCUUCACCAUGAUCGAACCUGAACAAGUGGAGGUUUCUCCACGCUCCCGUGCUCCUGUGCUUAGCUCCCUUCAGUGGGUCGCUGAGAUCUUGCCUCCCAGUAUCCGUGUACAGGGUCGCACCUUCAGCCAGCAGCUUGAGCACCUUCUAACACUCCAAGAGAGAUACACCAUCUGCAAGGCCCUGGAGGCCUUCUUCCAGCACAGAAAUGUAGACACUUUGAUUGUGGACGUCUUCCCUGUGUUGGAUACCCCAGCAAAACAGGUGAUUUGGCAGUUUGUUUACCAGCUGCUGACCUAUGAGGAGCAGGAACACUGCCGAAACAAGAUCUCACGAUUCCUUGGCUAUAAAGUUACAUCAGAUCCUGAACCUCCAGCCCAUGAGCCUCAUAGGCGCAGCAGCUCCAUGAAGGUGACAGGAACCACCUACAGGAGCAGUGUGAGGGGACGCAGCUCAGAUGAUCUGGUUAUCGGCACUCACUUGGGAAUGGGGAUUUGCACUGAGCCAGUGGAGGUGGCACCUAUGAGACUGACUCCUGGAGAGAGACAAUCAGGGGAUGGAACAUCCCUACCAGAGACACCCAACAAUCUGACUAAUCUGUCAGCUGUGUAUGCUGAGCUGGAGAAUGUCUAUGCCGGGAAGAGAUCCAAAUCCCUGAAGAGUCGACCUCCUCCAGCUCCUGAAACUCUGGUUAACUUAGACGUCUUCCAGCAUGCUUCCUCAAAGUCUGUCAGGACAUACUCUUCCUCUCCAUCUGUUCGGGCCACUUCAGGUAGCCGCAAAUCUGCAUCAGCACAGCCUGUACCUCCGCCUCCACCACCUCCUCCACAGCCUGACUCUUGGAUGCAGGAGCCUCCACUGAGUCCCCAGUUCCCCUGCUACCCUCCAGGUCUUACCUCUCAAACCAGUGCUGAGUCCAACCCAUACAUCAAUUUAGACAGCCCACCUCUCUCUCCACCCUCUCCUCCGGACUACCCACCUAGUCCACCCAUUCGGAAGAAGCGCUACACCUUCUCACGUCCACCUCGGACCCCUGACACAGAUUUAUUCAUGGAGGCUCUUAGCGAGCAGUUGGGACAGCAGUUAUCUGUGGAUGACUUUCUGUCACCAGAGAAUGACUAUGAAGAGGAUAUUGUCCAGCUGACAUUCCAGAAUGAGGAAGAGGAGGUAGAGGUAGAAGAGGAAGAGGAGGAGGAGGAGGAAGAAGAGGGUCCAUACUUGCCUCCUGAGCUAAGCAGUCCAAGUGAAGUACACAGUAGCAGUGAGGAUGCCAGCUCUCUUACCUACUCCUCAAGCUCAGAGCACAUUCCUCCACCCCCUAUGACUCCCCCUCCCCCUCCCCCAGUCCAAUUUAAUGACCCCCCUACCCCUGCUCGAUUCACCCCUGACCAUGCACCCCGACAGCUGACCUUCCGUCGCCACCCUGGACCUCCCCCGCCGCCUCCACCAAGAGCUAACCCACCUCCAAAAAGACAAUCCAUUCACAAGGUGUUGCCCACACGUGAUGAGCUGAUGACGCAGCACCAAGUCCUUCAGGAGCACCACUCCCUUCCAGUUCAACCAACAGCCAGCCACCCUCACCAAUCUCAGCAGCAAAUGCAUCAGUCUCUGCCCCCUAUGCCCUCUCCAGAAAUAAACCAGUCACCCAUCCCUAGUCAUGCAAUAUACGAGAUGCACCAUCAGGUUCAUCCAGCUCACCAGGCUCACCAACACCAACAGGUACAACAAGAUCACCAGAUGCAUCCAAUCAAUCAAAAUAAACCAAUCCACCAAUCUCAGUCUAUUAAAGUGCACCAAAGACACCACUCACACCAGAAUAUUCAGACUCAACUAUCUAGCUCUAUGGAUAGGCUUGAUAGGAUUGAAAGAAAGGAAUGCUCGGAUAGGCAUAUCUAUGGCAUGCAGCCCCAGCCCUUGCAUCCAGAUCAACAAGUACACCAUGCUUAUCAGAUGCAUCAGAGUCAUCAGGCUCACCUCUCAAGCUCCAUGGAUAGACUUGACCGACUGGAGCAGAUCCAGCAUUUGGAACGCAUGGAGCGUAUGGAGCGAAUUGAAAGACUGGAGAGGGUGGACAGACAAAUGCACCAGGCACACAUGGCUCAAGCAGUUUCUCAAGCUGUUCAACCAUCUCAGCAACAGUACCACCACCAGAUGCACCAAGCUCCUCUGCCAUCCCGCCACAUUCACCAGAUUGAACAUAUACACCAGGUACAGCCAACCCAGUCAGCUCCUCAGUACCACCAGAUCCACCAGCCCCACAAACCUCACCAGACCCAACAGAUUCUGUCAACCUUCCAGCCUCAUACUUCACAACAGCAACAACAGCAGCUUCAGCAUAUGCAGCAGCAACAACAACUUCAGCAGCAGCAACAGCUUAAGCAGCAGCAACAUCUUCAACAGCAGCAACAGCUUCAGCAGCAGCAACAUCUUCAACAGCAGCAACAGCUUCAGCAGCAGCAACAUCUUCAACAGCAGCAACAGCUUCAGCAGCAGCAGAAUCAGCAGCAGAUUCAGCAGCAGCAACAGCAUCGCUCAACCCCACAGAUUCCUCCCAUUACACAGGCCAGACAUAGCCCUCAACCCAUGUACCAUGAACAUCAUCACCACCAUCACAGCCACCAGGAGGACCAGUCCCAAACGCAACCACCAAGUACACCCCAACCUCAAACUCCCCACCCCACUUAUGAGUCCACUGUGGAGCCACCUCCUCCUCCACCUUUACCCCCACCUUGCAUGCCUCCUCCACUCCCAAAGGCCUCACCACAAAAAACAGACUCCAGUCAUAUGAGUGUAAAGCGGCUACGAUGGGAACAAGUGGAAAAUUCUGAGGGAACCAUUUGGGGACAGUUGGAAGAAGAUUCUGAUUAUGAAAAGCUGAGUGACAUGGUGAAAUACCUAGACUUGGAGCUUCAUUUUGGGACCCAAAAGAGCCCUGUUUCUCUUCCUGAGCCCUCACCUCAAGUGGAGACUUUUAAGAAGAAAGAUGUAGUGGAGAUUCUCUCCCAUAAGAAAGCCUACAAUGCUUCCAUCUUGAUUGCCCAUCUGAAGCUCUCACCAAGCGAGCUACGCCAGGUGCUGAUGACGAUGUCGAGUGAACGUUUAGACUCAUCACAUAUUAAACAAUUGCUCCUAUAUGCACCAGACGAUGAUGAGGUUAGAAAAUACGAGCAGUACAGAGACGACCCAAGCAAACUCAGUGAGCCCGAUCAGUUUGUUCUACAGAUGCUAUCAGUGCCAGAGUAUAAGACCCGUUUGAAAAGCCUGCAUUUUAAGACUGCAUUGCAAGAGAAAACAGAGGAGAUGAGGGGGGCCUACGAUUGUGUUUUUAAGGCUUCACUGGAGCUCAAAAACAGCAAAAAACUGGCCAAGAUUCUGGAGUUUGUGCUGGCUAUGGGGAAUUAUCUAAAUAACGGCCAACCCAAGACCAAUAAAACAACAGGAUUUAAGAUAAAUUUUCUUACUGAACUCAGUACCACCAAAACAGUGGAUGGAAAGUCAACAUUUCUGCAUAUCCUGGUGAAAUCAUUGUGCCAGCACUUUCCAGAGGUUCUGGACUUUAGGAAGGAGCUUGAGAUGGUGCCACAAGCAGCCAAAGUGAAUCAAAGGAACAUCACUUCUGAUUUUAAUGACUUACAUGCAACAAUCCAGGACAUUCGUUUAGCCUGCCAGAAGAUGCCAGCCACCGCUGAGGAUCGAUUUGCCAUUGUUAUGAGUGGCUUUCUGGAAAACAGUCACCCAGCUGUGCAGUCUCUGGAGUCUCUGCAGCAGAGGGCAAUGGAGGAGUUCUGCAAAGUCGCAUCCUUCUUCGGUGAGGAUGGAAAGGCCACCACCACAGAGAGCUUCUUCGGUAUCUUUGCAGAGUUCAUGGCUAAAUUUGAGAUUUAGAAUUUCAUCACUUGUUUACUAAUGGAUGCUCUGCAGUGAAUGGGUGCCGUCAGGAUAAGAGUCAAAAAACAUCACAAUAAUCCACAAGUAAUCCGCAAGACUUCGGCCUAUCAGUUAACAUUUUGUGAAGUGUAAAGCUUCAUGUUUGUAAGAAACAAAUCCUUAGGUGUUUGAACUUUUAAACCUCACAUCCAUUGGCGAGCAAGUGAUGUAAUGCCGAUGAUGUCACCCACAUUUCUUCUUGAGUAGCCUAAGGAGGGCUUUGAGUGAUAUCCAGACUACAGAAAACCCUCCACGCAGUCCCAGGAGCCCUCGCACGACCUCUCCUGUAGCCUGGUGAAGAAACCACCCAACAUGAGGCAAACAAACUCGUACAAUACAGACUUACAGUGCAUAAAUGUUCUCUUACGUACUGUCCACUCCUAUACCUGUCCGGUCUAAGUUUAGUUAUAGCCUUAUGGUAAUUCAAGGACAUGUGUAAGUUAUAGCAAGUCCAGGCAAGUUAUAAAGCUGGACUCUCAGGCACAGACUGGACAGGAACGCUUCAGAGCAAAUGUAAGGGAAAGAUUAGAAAUUGCUUUAAAACUUUUGAGCAGAUUUGGUCUGGGACGUUUUUUACAGGAUGGACUGUGUGAUUGCUCUUGGCACUUAAAAACCAGGAAUGGAGUCAAAAGUUGUGGUGGUGGAUUCUGUAAAUCAUAAGUGCAGUUAGAUCAGAUAUUUAAUGUAACGUGAAAUCAGGACUGUGAGUGUCAGAUCUUGACUGACUUCAUAUUUUAAUAAAGCUGUUGUUUAGGAAAAGUGCUUUAACAGUGUGUCUUAAUUCUGCUUAAAUGUAUUUAAUACAACCUGGGUUAGAGUUGUCAGGUGGUCAUUGUACUGUAAACAGAUAUUUUGAUGAAUGAAUGUCUUAAAUGAUAAAAAGUAAUUUCUCAUA